CCUACGGGGUGCAGCAGUGAGGAAUAUUGGUCAAUGGGCGCGAGUCUGAACCAGCCAAGUAGCGUGAAGGAUGACUGCCCUAUGGGUUGUAAACUUCUUUUAUAAAGGAAUAAAACGAGGCACGUGUGCCUUUUUGCAUGUACUUUAUGAAUAAGGAUCGGCUAACUCCGUGCCAGCAGCCGCGGUAAUACGGAGGAUCCGAGCGUUAUCCGGAUUUAUUGGGUUUAAAGGGAGCGUAGAUGGGUUGUUAAGUCAGUUGUGAAAGUUUGCGGCUCAACCGUAAAAUUGCAAUUGAUACUGGCAGUCUUGAGUACAGUUGAGGUAGGCGGAAUUCGUGGUGUAGCGGUGAAAUGCUUAGAUAUCACGAAGAACCCCGAUUGCGAAGGCAGCUUACCAAACUGUGACUGACAUUGAUGCUCGAAAGUGUGGGUAUCAAACAGGAUUAGAUACCCUGGUAGUC
rnacentral:rRNA from 1 species